rnacentral:rRNA from 1 species
CAAUAGCGUAUAUUAAAGUUGUUGCAGUUAAAAAGCUCGUAGUUGGACUUCUGCGGGUGGCGGCCGGUCGUGCUCGAAACGGGCGUGAACUUGGCGUGCUGCCCGCAUCUUUGGGGAGAUUGUGCGUGGCAUUAAGUUGUCGUGCAUGGGAUUCUCAUCAUUUACUGUGAAAAAAUUAGAGUGUUUAAAGCAGGCCUUUGCCUUGAAUACAUUAGCAUGGAAUAAUAAGAUAGGACCGUUGUCUAUUUUGUUGGUUUACAGAUGUCGGUAAUGAUUAAUAGGGAUAGUUGGGGGUAUUCGUAUUCAGUUGUCAGAGGUGAAAUUCUUGGAUUUUCGGAAGACGCGCGACUGCGAAAGCAUUUACCAAGGAUGUUUUCAUUAA